rnacentral:rRNA from 1 species
AGAGUUUGAUCAUGGCUCAGGACGAACGCUGGCGGCGUGCUUAACACAUGCAAGUCGAACGGUAAGGCCUUCGGGUACACGAGUGGCGAACGGGUGAGUAACACGUGGGUGAUCUGCCCUGCACUUCGGGAUAAGCUUGGGAAACUGGGUCUAAUACCGGAUAUGACUGCGAAUCGCAUGGUUUGUGGUGGAAAGCUUUUGCGGUGUGGGAUGGGCCCGCGGCCUAUCAGCUUGUUGGUGGGGUGAUGGCCUACCAAGGCGACGACGGGUAGCCGGCCUGAGAGGGUGACCGGCCACACUGGGACUGAGAUACGGCCCAGACUCCUACGGGAGGCAGCAGUGGGGAAUAUUGCACAAUGGGCGCAAGCCUGAUGCAGCGACGCCGCGUGAGGGAUGACGGCCUUCGGGUUGUAAACCUCUUUCAGUGCCGACGAAGCGUGAGUGACGGUAGGCAUAGAAGAAGGACCGGCCAACUACGUGCCAGCAGCCGCGGUAAUACGUAGGGUCCGAGCGUUGUCCGGAAUUACUGGGCGUAAAGAGCUCGUAGGUGGUUUGUCGCGUUGUUCGUGAAAACUCACAGCUCAACUGUGGGCGUGCGGGCGAUACGGGCAGACUGGAGUACUGCAGGGGAGACUGGAAUUCCUGGUGUAGCGGUGGAAUGCGCAGAUAUCAGGAGGAACACCGGUGGCGAAGGCGGGUCUCUGGGCAGUAACUGACGCUGAGGAGCGAAAGCGUGGGGAGCGAACAGGAUUAGAUACCCCAGUAGUCC